rnacentral:rRNA from 1 species
CCCUUAGAUGUCCUGGGCCGCACGCGCGCUACACUGAACGGAUCAGCGCGUUUUCCCUUCCCGAGAGGGACGGGUAACCUGCUGAACCCCGUUCGUGGUAGGGAUCGGGGCUUGCAAUUAUUCCCCGUGAACCAGGAAUGCCCAGUAAGUGCAAGUCAUAAGCUUGCGUUGAUUACGUCCCUGCCCUUUGUACACACCGCCCGUCGCUACUACCGAUUGAACGUUUUAGUGAGGUACUCGGACUGAGCCUCAGAAGAUUCACGUCUUUUGUGCUGCUCGGGAAGAUUCCCAAACUUGAGCGUUUAGAGGAGGUAAAAGUCGUAACA